UAAGCACAAUAAGUCAUGUGA
rnacentral:piRNA from 1 species